AGGCUGAACUCGGUCCGCGGGUCGUCGCUGUACUGGACCACGCCAACGCGGGUUCUGUCCUCGCCGAUCUGGAACGCUCCGGCCGCCGCCGCCAUGAAGCUGCGGAUGUGCUUAAAGUUCGGCCUGCCGACGCUCCAGGAGCCGUCGACCAGGAAGAGCAGAUCUGGGCCCACAGAGGCUGCUGCUGCUGCUGGUUUCCAUUUCCACCAGGGCAUCAGAGCUGGACUCCAACAACAGCCUCAGUCCUGACCUAUGACCCCUGCAGUGAGCGCCUGCAGCUGAUUCAGAAACUGGCACUACUGGUUGGCAGAAAACCGUCCAUGAUGACCAAGAACAUUUGAGUUUUAUUGGGUCCAAUCAGGAAGAUUACUGUACAGUUGGGUCCAGUUUGUUGGCAACGGCCUUCUGCUAUCGUUAGCCUGAAGAUAACAUGAAACCAACGCUGCAGAAACUGGAUGUUAAAGAGUUCAGUGACGUCAGGUUUCAGUUGUUUUGGACGUUGUUGGCUGAGUGUCUCUGCUGUAAAGCAGGAAGUCAGAUCAGAACUUACUGACGGGAUCGGAGGAAUUGGGUUUCCUGGUUCCUCCUCUGGAGCUUCUGCUCGACUCGACUGGAAGAGAAACGGAUCAGCCGUCGUUAAAUUACUGCUGCUGGUGUGUUGGAGCUACCAGCUGCUGCCUAAGUGCUUGGUUGGACGGCGUUCAGCUUUCCGUUUGGUGACUCACGUGUGAGCUGGCCAGAGAUGGGCAGACUCUGCUGGGAUCCGGCGAACGCCACGAUGGUAACCAUAUAGUCCACAUCAGGACUCAGCUCUGAGAUGGAGGUUUUAGUCGCAGAGGCAGGCAGAGAAAAAUGUCUGGCCGCUUCGCCUGCAACCAAGCAGAGAGUCAGAAGGAAGCCAUUAGGAAACUAUGACAUGACUUCAUCUCUCCAAGAGUCAAAUCUGAGUCCAAGUGCUGACCUGCAGCGCUGGAGGAGCUGAGGAAACAACAGUUUAAUGAAAACUUUCCACAUUAAAGCUCAGCACAUGCUUUAACUCCUUAAUCCUCUCAAAUCUGGCAUUAAAUGGUUGGUAACUGCUACAGAGAAACAUCUCCUGGUUCCAGGUAGAGAGGAGACGAAUCCUGGAUUAGGAGCUGGACGACGAACGGAUGGAAGACAUUUAGAGGAAUGUUGUUUUUCAUCUCCGUCAGUCAUGGUGGGUUCAUGUUUCCACGCAGCGCAGAGCAAAAAAACCCUCGCAAACUUUUCCAGAGCGAAGAAAAAGAGAAAGCUCAUGUGAAAAAGUAUUUACACCCACAGCUGAGCUGGUUGAAGAACCUUCAGACUCUCCACAGUCAGCCAGACGUUCAGAUGGCUUUAGGGCACAGCCCACAGCAUAACGCUGCCAGCACCAUGCUUCACAGCAGACCAGCUGCUAGCCAGCCAACAGGAAGUGUCUGUUUCAUCAGAGCAGAGGAUUCUGACAUGACGACUGAAUAAUUCAGCAAAAUGGCACAAAUGUUCCCAGGGAAACUUUUUAAAACAAUAAAUAAACACUAACCACUGAAAAA